CAGAGGUUGCAGUGAGCCAAGAUCGUGCCACUGCACUCCAGCCUGGGUGACAGAGCAAGACUCCAUCUCAAAAAAAAAAAAGUAUCAAGUUCACUUCCUAUUUUUAAACUUACCCACUUCUCUCUUAUCUUUGCUGAUGCUUCUCUAGUACAACAGUUUCUUUAUUGGUCUUCCUGCUGGAUGGCCUGGAUUCAUCCUAGAACAUUUGACUCUCUCUGCCUGGCUCAUCUUUAAAUGGGGGUCACAACAGAACCUACCUCAUAAAGUUAUUGUGAAGGUUAAAUGAGCUAACCCAGGUAGAGUGUUCACCAUAGGAUAUAAUAAGCACUCAGUAAGGGUAACCUAUUAUUCUCCAUAAAGCUACCCAUAUCAUGUCACACCCUGGCCUAAAGCAUUAGUUAGUUUCCCACUGCCCUCUGUGUUUGUACCUCUGCACAAGGCUGUUGGUGAUAUGACCCACUGCAGCCUUUAGACCUCCACCCCCUUCUUUUCCUACUCUAUUCCUCUUGACUUCCAUGCUUCAGCCACCCUGAGCUUCCGGUAGUUCCUAAAGGCACUGUAAUAUCCUUUUCCUGACCUUAGGAGCUUUCUCAGCCCUCUGUACAUGUUUUAUCACAAUUCUUACUGUGCUGGAAUGGCCUGUUUACUUUUGUGAUUUCUCCUUCAGUCUGUAGGCCCCAGGAUGGCCAGAAAAAGAUCAGUCUUACUCAUGACUAAUUCCUCAGAUUUCAGCAUGGCUCCUGGCACGUUAUAGGCUCCCAAACAUUAUUUAUCGAAUAGGUGGAUGGGUAGGCACAUAGGAGGGAGGAAGAAAAUAUAACAAUUCUGUGACCCCAAAGUCCGGUACCCUUUGGACUACUCCUGCCUGCCGCCUUGCAGCUCUCUAAAGAAAGUGGAAAGUAGGGGCCAUACUCAGAGGACUGGGGAGGGUGGGGCUGGGAGAUACCUCCAUUGCUCCCUCUUCAGUCCCAUCUCCACAUUCACUAGCAUUUUCUUUCUUACAAAUCUAAGAUUUGUAACUUGGCUGCUUAAAACUCCACAAGUCCCCCACUGCUUACAGGAAACGAGUGUACCCCUUAGAGUGGCACGCCGGAACUCUCAGCCUCUUGCCCUCCCUUCUCCCCUCUGCAGCUCUCAGCCCUUGGCCAUCUCCCAAGGACACACUGCUGUUUCCCGCCUAUGUGACUUUUCCAGGUCCCUCUCUCUCGGGUGAAUCUUUCCAGACCUAGCUCAGUUAUCAUCACUUCCAUGGAAGUUUCCUAAUCUCUCCGGCAUCAGUAUAUACUCUUGGCUCCCAUAGAACUCUGUAGAGCCUUUGUUAUAGCCCACCUCAAUCUGUCCCAUAUUGCUGUGUGCACUGUUUGUCUGCCCUAUUAGAAUGUAAAGUGUUCAAAGAGAACAUAUAUUCACUUUGGAGAACCCAACCUUACCACUUGUGAGCUGUGUAGAUUUUGGCAAGUUGCCUAUAUUCUCUAAGCCUUGUGUAUAAUAAUGCAUAAAAAUAUUUGUUAAGAUGAGAAGUGACCAUUUCUACCUUACAGGUUUGGUGCCUGGAAUGCUGAUGUAGACCUAGAAACUAGCCCAGAUGAAAACAAGAAUGAUGAGGCCACAGUGUCCAUGAAAGUAGGGCAAGGCAGGGUGUCCAGUGGAGCCUGAGGGAGUACCAAGAGGGAGGUCCUUGGAACACGGAGGAACCAGAAGGCCCAGGAGUAGGAAGCAGUGUUGGUGUUUGUAAGGAAGUAGAAGAGGUGGUUGGCCAGAGGACAGGCCCUGUUCGAGAUCUAACCAGGACAUCAGAGCUGGCCUCUUCCUCCCUUCUUCCUUGCAGGCCACAGCCAAGCAGCCUUAACUGACACCUCCUUGGCACCAGCACACAAACAAUGGCCCAUAGCCUGACUUCUGCCAGGAUGCCCGAGGCCCGUGCCCUUCACCUGUUCUGCACCUAUAAGAUUGGUGUUUGCCCUCUUUGAUUCUUCCAGGUGCUGCCCCACCCUGUUCUUCUCCCCAUUCUUUAAGUGCUGAGAUUGGCCAGUCCCGUGCUGAGAUGAGGGAGCCGGAGGAAGGGAGACUGACUGUCACUCCUCACUGCUGUCCAUUGGGAUGGGAUGAACUUCACAGCUCCAGUUUCCUGUGUUCUCUCAGCUGCAGAACUGGAAUGUUCAUCUCUGGUUCCAGUGUUUUCAGCCCCCCUCUCAGUCAGCCAUACCCAGAAGACAGCAAAAUUGCCUGGCUGGUUUCACAGCCCAUCUCUGGUGACAGCUCCCAGGGUGCCUACAGUCGUUAGCCACAACACCUUCAGUGGAGGUAGGGGAGGACUAUGUCCCAGAGACAAUGGUAUGCAGUGGGGAGGUGGACACAAACAGGAGAGGUCUAGGAAGGUCACUUGGGGAUCUCUGGGAGGCUUCAUGGGGUCUGAAAGAGUAAGAAGGGGUGCUGGGGGUUGAGGUUGUCCUCUUUCAGCUGCAGGUAUGCAACAGAAAUCACCGUGUUGACUAGUCUGAGGCUCAAAACCUAAAGACACCUCCCCAUUCCCCAGAGAAUUUCUUAGAAAACACCUUCCAUUCUUCUCAGGGCAGAAUAAUACCCAGUCUGACAUCUAGCCCCUUUAAGCUAAUUCUUCCAAGAAGUGCAGCUCUCUAGAAUGGACAGAGCAGGCUGUCACUUGGACUGGCAGCCCUGUUGAGCAGCAAAGGGGGGUUAGUUUAGGAGACAUUCAGGGUCUCCUCAGUCCUUCUCUCUUGGAACCAUGUCCACAUUUAGGUCAAGACUUGAAGGCCUUCCCUUAUUUGCUGAUACAUGAACAUCUUUCUCUCCAGCCUAAUGCAUCACAGGCCAGCAUCAGAAGCACAGACUUAGCCCCUGGCCCUGAGAAGAGAGAUGGGAGGAGAGGAUGGAGCAUGGGGUCCAGGCACUGCUCUGUAGCUGGGGCUCUGAGCUCUGCUCUCUAUACCCUCCUUCAGAGGAGACAGGUGGGGACUGAAGCGACUUCCCCAUCUCCCACAGGGGGGCACAGACUGACAGGCAGUCAACGACCCUUGUUUCCAGGGGCUUAUCUUCUCUCCUCCAGGCAUCUGAAGCCUUGCAGCUUCCCUGCCCCUCAUUUGGCAGUCCUCCUGUCUCAGCAGUGGGGAGAGGUGGAGGCCCUGGGAGAGAGUCUGCCUAUUCCUAGACCAGACUACGGGGCUGAGGGCAGGAGAAGGGAAGGAGGUGGGAGAGCAAAGAUUGAGAAGAAGGUCUGUCCCAGGCCAGGACUGGGUGAAGGCAUGCAGCUGGUGUGCAGCUGUCUGGGCUCUCCUCUCCAGACGCCUGCCACCCCUCUCCAAGUCCUGCAUGGUGUCCUUCCUCCUUUGGAAUGCUCUAAUGCUCUUCCUUCCCACCCUGGCAUUCAGGGUCUGGAAACCUCUCUGCAGCUCAUAUCUAAGUGUAGGACAGGCAGCAUGCCAGGAAACACCCAGCAGAGGGCCCCUACUCUUCUUUCUAUACCCCUGCCUCCACCAGGACCCUGACUGAGGGCCCAGAAUCCAGUUUUCUCCAUCCCUGCAAACUGCCAAAGCAGCGGGAGGUGUGAGGUCAAGAGCAAGAUGCUUGCUGGUAAAUUUGGAGUUGCAUCCUCAUCCUUCUUCCUUUAUUGUGGCCACUUUCCUCCACUGCCUCCUUCCCUAAGGUGUCACAUAACUUCCCCCCAACCCAACACUUGCUCGGCCUUCAGGUCGGGUGGCCUCGGUGACCUCCUUUCUGUUCUGCUUGGACACUGUGGUCACCUCUUCCAGGAACCCAGAAGAAUGAAUUUGCAAUGGGGACUUUCAGAGACACACACUAGUCCAGAGAGAUUCUUCCUACAGUGGAACAGGACCUCCUUUUAUUGUUCCCAUCACCUCCCAGAAAGAGCUUCACAUGCUGAAACUCAGAACGAGGGCCUGUGUUGCAGAUUCCAUAAAGAAGACCAAAGGUACUUCCAGCGGGCAAGCCUUGGGGCUGUGAGGCACAGCUGGCCAGAGUCCAAGAGGCACAGACCAAUGAAGAAAUCUUUUUUUUUAAACUGUGCUUUAUUUAGGGCUAAGCUGGAGAAAGCGUCAUCCAAUAGUUACAGAAGGUUACAAGGAGUUUUAGGGAGUUGAGUGUGAAAAGAGCAGUUGUACUGAACUGCAGCUGUUUUCUUUUUUUUUCUUUUUUUUUUUCUUUUUUGUUUUUUGUUUUUUUUUACAUCUGGACAUCCUAAAAGGAGGAGUCAAGAGAAAAAAAGAAAAUGAAAAACAACAACAACAACAAAAUUGACAGAAAGAAAGGAAAGGCAGGAGGCCCUAGAGGAACUGGAAAUUUGUUGUUCUAAAGGGAAACAAUGGUAGGUCUGAGAACCCCCGGCCUCCAGAUGACCUGGACAUCAAUGUGAAGGAAUCGAGGCAGAAUGCCAAAGCAAUCUUCCCAAGGGUGCAAAUAAAUUAUAAUAAAUAUGUUAUACUUUAAAAUAUAUGUGUUCUUAAAUAAUUCAGUGUUUUUUCUGAUUCUGAGUUUUUUAAGCAAUGUCUUUAACUGCUCUAAAGUCAUUUACCAAAGAUAAAUAUCGUGCUUUCAUUAAAUAGUUUUCCUUGUUUUUUUCUCUAUCAUUACAAUUAAAAGUCCUACAAAAUAUGCAAAUUUAUUUACAGAAAAACAGAGCCGGCAUCAUUUAAACAUCCCUGUUUUUCAAAAUUCCUUGUAAACAGUUUCAGAAAUUCUUCAAAGAUUGUUUAUUUUUCUCUCUCUUUUUUAAGGUUUUGUGUGUGUGUGUGUUGUCUAGUCGUUUUAAGAUGAAAGUUCCCAGUUCUCCCUUGCCCGGAAAGUCUCUGGAGCAAGCGUGGAAGGCGAGUGAAGCGGAAGGUGAGUGAAGCGCGCGCAGCUCCCGGAGGGAAGCAAGAGGCGAGGACGGCGGCGGCGGCGACGACCCGGGCAACGCGACCGUUCCCCGGCCGAUGGCGUGGCCUCCACUGGCGACAGGCAGCCAGACGCCCGCAGGUGUGGGGCAAGUUCGGCCUGGCCCUUGGGGACAACGGCGUCCGACAGCACUCGCGGGGAGAAGGGAUUGAUGCUCUGUCUAAACUCUACAAAAGUACAGUCCUACAACAUCUGGGAUUUUAGCAGUAAUGCUAACUUCUAUAGGUUUUUUUUUUUAUUUUUUUUAUUUUUUAUUUUUUGCUUUCCUCUAAUUUUUCUUCUAUUAUAUAGGUAUUUUAAACUUUUCCUUUUUAAAAUUCUGUACAACUAUUAGGAUUUUAAGAGGGGGAAGAGUUAGAAGCAUUUACAGACUUUUCACAACAAUGACCUUGCUUGGUAAGUCCCGUUUGUCCCCUCUUUGUUUUCUCACACUCCACGGUUAAUGAGUUUUAAGAUUUGUGUUGCUUUCCCCAAAUAUCCACCAAUUUGUUCAUCUUAACAGCUCCAUCCAGACAUAGAAUACAGAAAACCAUAGGAAAGUGUCAGACUUGGAUGAGGGUCAUCAAAGCGCCUCUCAAAGUAUCAAAGAACUAUUAUCUUGCUGUUUUAAAAGCACUGAAGCGUUAUAUUUCCUUUUUUUUGUUGUUGUUUUUUUGUUGUUGUUUUUUGUGUUUUUUUUUUUAAUUUUUUAUUACAUUUUUUCAUAGAAUCGCUCUAAGCUGUUUCAAGAACAGCCAUGAGGCAGGAAGGAGGGGGUCCUCCAUUCCCCCUCUAUUUGACAUAGAGCUACACAUCUGCAAUAAAAAGUUUGGUCCUUUGGUCCCUAAAUAGCUAAAGGAAUGACAGAUAAAGAUGCUCAGUGGCGGCCUCCCAGCCGCCCCCUGGGGACCAGGCCCCACACACCACUUGCCCCAGCCUGCCUCAGGCGCCCAUGGGCUGGAAAAGCCCCGGGAUCGGUAAGCAGCGUCUCCUCCCAGUUCCCAGCCCUUCAGCCUCCCCGUCUGGUCUCGUGAUAUUUUGUUUUAAAGUUGCCUUUUGUGUGUUUUUUUUUUUCUCAUUUUUCUUCAUCUUCUUCUUAUGUCAUAUAUAUAUUUUCCCCCAAACACGUGCCCUCUGAACUCCAUAGACGCUAUACUUUCCUUGAAGAAAUGUUACAGUCACACAGACAGUGUCUGGAGUCUUCAGCUUGAUUGAUAUUGGCUGAUAUGUCAAAGGUGUCAUCCAACAGUUCUCAUUUAUAAAUAUAUAGAGAGAGAGGUUUGUUUUUUAAUGUAGCCCGUUCAGCAUCCUGCCCUAAAAUGAAGAAAAUCAGGGCUGAUUAAGCCAAGAGGGAAAACACAAACAGCAUCCAAACACCAAUAGGAACCUGCCUCAGGGGUUAGGAUGGGAGCUCUAGGGGAUGGUGGGAGGGAAGGAAGAGAGACCAGUAUGAGAAUUAGUCAUGAUCAUGAUACAUUAAAAAGAAAUAUACUCUUCUAUUCAGAGCAGAAACCACUGGGAAGUCUAGUGGUGAUGGUUGUAGCUGAGGUUUCGUUGUUGGGAGAAGGUUCUUGAUUUGGGUUACUUUAGCAUUCUGGAUUGGGGGUAGCUACAACUAAGGGGAGAAUUUGGGACUGUGGGAUAUGAAUUCAUAAUUAAACUUGUCUCUGAGAGAUCUAGCCCAGAUACAAUAUGUAUACAGAAGCCUAGCAAACAAGAUAGGAAAAAUCUAGCAGCCCAGCCCACUCCUCCCAGCUCAAGGGAAAGAAGGAAGACACAUCCGUGACUCAAAUUUUGUAGAAUCCUUGCCCAGCUUCCAGCCAACCACUUCUUUCCCGGGGUCAGUAACUAUUUGCGAGGCUGUGUAUAUAUAUAUGUAUAUCUGGAUAUAUGUGUAGAAUAUAUUCACCUGCACAUAUGUGGAUAUACAUGGAUAUGUGUGUAUGUAUAUGCAUAUAUACACACAUACACACACAUAAUACUUUUCUCAUACAUGCCAGGGAAUUUAGAGGAAAUUCAGAACUUCAAGGGAGUGGAUGGGAAAACCUAAAAAAAGGUCAGAAGAGAUUUAAUUAUCAAACUUAAAUAAAUUAACUCAGACAGUGUUUGAUUUUGUUUUGAAUGGUGGCUUUUUGGUGUUUUGUUUUGCUUUAAAAAAAAUCAUGAUCUGACUAGAAUCAGAAGGCGAAUGCUUAAUCAUUGUGAAUUAACAAAUGAGACUCAUCUCCAUUCUAGCAAGCAGCUUCCACUUAUACAUGGGGGUGACUGGUUACAUCAAGAAAGUUAGAACUGCAAAGCCCCCACUUGAGGGGACAACGUCAUGCGUAUAUCAAUCCAUGCUGGCAGGUUUUUCACACUGUUGAUUCAACAAACAGCAAACCGUACACAGCAGUCUAAACAAUUACAACACCAAAUAAAAUAAUAAUAAAAUUAAAAAACACUUGUCAAGGACCCUUUUUCAGUUGUAAACAAAAAGGUGCAUUUUGCUUUUGUUAGUACUGUUUCUUCCAAACCAACCAAAAAAACCCUCCCGAGCCCCCAGUCCCCAGCCUCCCCUCCCCACAUUUAAUUUAGCAGAAGUGGUUACAAUACAAACCUUACAAUUGUUACCGGGCUCUCUUGCAGAGGCCUCUGGCUUUGUACUCUAGUUUUUUGGUUUAGAAUUUUGUUUUUAUCAUUCUGUUACUGUAGAUAUUUUGUUUUUGUUUUUUGUUUUUGUUUUUGUUUUUUUUUUCCCUUUGAAGUGAGAUUGAAAAUAGCCUAACUGGAAAGACCAGACCUAGGAUAGUGUCAAUUGAAAAAGGCCCCCAAAUUUCUAGAAAAAAAUAAAAUCACAAUAUUUUCAAGUGCAAGUAAAUCAACCACGCAUAGAUAUUUUUAAGAUGUUUUCCUUAUUUUUAAGAAAAAAAUAAUGGUUUGCACAGGUAAAUGAUCCCAUGUUUGAUAAUUCAGGAAUUCAUCUUUAUUUUGACUAUUUUUUGUUCUUUUGUUUUGUUUUUUUCUCUAUGUGACAUCUAGAGAAGCAUAAAAAAACGCUGAACAAGAAAAACCAAACAACAGAAAGUAAAACCACUGCAAGCACCAAGAACAAAACGAAAAUGAGCACAGCAAAAAAGAUUGUGGCAGCACAAAAGUCAAGAAAAUGCACGUGUGAUCAUGACUGGCCAAUCAUCAACUGAUACAACAUCCAAGAAAAACGCUCCAAUCACAGCACCUCCACGAAACUUGACGGCAAUUGUCAUGCAACCGAUUCUUAGCCUUGUUACAUGACGCCAUCAUGUCACACUGUGAACUUUGAGUUGAUUUGAACUUACGGAUGGGGGACUUUUCUCCACUCUCAUGUGAUUACGUGAACUUUAUUCCUAGCUCAGCGCGAGACUGUGGUGGAUUUGACUGGCCCUGGUUGGGUUGUUGGAAUUUGAUUGAAUGACAAAAGAAGAAAAGAUUUAUAUAUAUAUUUAUAUAUGUAGAGAGAGAGAGAGAGGACAAGAGAGUGUGGGUGGGGGAAGGAAGAGGUGGGGCAGGGCAGGUGGGGUUGGGGAGUGUGGGAGGGCAGGGAGGGCUGGGAUUCAGGUGAAGGAGGGCAAGGAAGAAGUUAAAACAAAAUUAAAAAGAAAAUAUAUUUAUACAGCACCAGACCACAGCAUCAAUCUAGAAGCUCUGAUGAGAGAACAGCAGUCAAAUCAUAAGAGAACUGAAAAGAACUCAAAGGAUGGAGUAAGCCAGCAGACAAACAUGGGCACAUCAACACACACACACGCACACACACACACGCACACACAUACACACAUACACACACACGGUUGUUUAUGCAGACACAUGAUACACUGUGAACAGAAGCAGAACCUCACACAGGGCCACUAAGGGCAUCCAUCAUGCGUUGGGGAGGGGGGCAUGGGCGGUUUGGCAAG